AUACCAUGAUGAGGACACUACCUGAUGAGAUCCUUGAACCUCUCCCAAGCUUCAUGGAGAGAUUCACUAUCCUACUGACAGAAAUUAUUAAUUUCUCCUCGCAGCUU